rnacentral:rRNA from 1 species
UACAGAGACUGCAAGCGUUAUUCGGAUUCACUGGGCGUAAAGGGUGCGCAGGCGGCCGUGUGUGUGAGGCGUGAAAGCCCGGAGCUCAACUCCGGAAUUGCACCUCAAACUACACGGCUAGAGCAUUGGAGAGGGUAGCGGAAUUCACGGUGUAGCAGUGAAAUGCGUAGAUAUCGUGAGGAACACCAGAGGCGAAGGCGGCUACCUGGACAAUUGCUGACGCUCAGGCACGAAAGCGUGGGGAGCAAAAAGGG